ensembl:snRNA U1 U1 spliceosomal RNA
AUACUUACCUGGCAGGGGAGAUACCAUGAUCACGAAGGUGGUUUUCCCAGGGCGAGGCUUAUCCAUUGCACUCCGGAUGUGCUGACCCCUGCGAUUUCCCCAAAUGUGGGAAACUCGACUGCAUAAUUUGUGGUAGUGGGGGACUGUGUUCGCGCUCUCCCCUC